AGGAGUCACAGUUUCGGGAACAAUGGCAUAAUUCAACAAUUUUUUUGUUUUGCUGUUAUAAUUGUAAAAAAUAAACAAAAUAAAUGAAUAACAAUGUUCUAUGAGAUGGAAGGCAACAUUUUUUAAUAAUACAGAUUCAAAAUCCAAUUUCUAAAACUAGUGGAACACAUAUUUAGAAAACAUUUUCAUUACGAUGUUCUCGCAAAAAAUCGAUGAUAUACCACUGUUUGGAGAAGUCAAAUUUUUAUGAGAAUUGGUUCUUUGAUGACAGAAAGGCACGAUCUCCAAAGAACAGCGUGAAAUUGUUUGCAGCACGUGUCUUUAUAUGGCGAUGAUCUUUUUGACGAUCACAAAUUGAAAUAAUCGGUUGACGAUACGAUAUCUCUUGACCAGGAACAAUUGCCAACAUUUGUUUGAAAUAAUCCGCAGGAUUGAAAUUACUUGGAUAACCAGUUCCUAAACUUUUCAUUUUUAAAUUGUUCAAUAUUAGAAAACAUAAAUAUUAUUCAAUUUAAAUAAAUUUGUAUGUCUUACCAGUUAGAGCUUUUAAAACAGACACAACUUGAUGUGCCAUAAAAGAGUCAAAAACUGAUGUUGGCUAAUCACAAAAUAAAAGCGGAGGAUCCUUUAAAAAUUUAGAAGCAAAUGAAA